AGAGUUUGAUUCUGGCUCAGAACGAACGCUGGCGGCGUGGAUAAGACAUGCAAGUCGAACGAGAGAAUUGCUAGCUUGCUAAUAAUUCUCUAGUGGCGCACGGGUGAGUAACACGUGAGUAACCUGCCCCCGAGAGCGGGAUAGCCCUGGGAAACUGGGAUUAAUACCGCAUAGUAUCGAAAGAUUAAAGCAGCAAUGCGCUUGGGGAUGGGCUCGCGGCCUAUUAGUUAGUUGGUGAGGUAACGGCUCACCAAGGCGAUGACGGGUAGCCGGUCUGAGAGGAUGACCGGCCACACUGGAACUGAGACACGGUCCAGACACCUACGGGUGGCAGCAGUCGAGAAUCAUUCACAAUGGGGGAAACCCUGAUGGUGCGACGCCGCGUGGGGGAAUGAAGGUCUUCGGAUUGUAAACCCCUGUCAUGUGGGAGCAAAUUAAAAAGAUAGUACCACAAGAGGAAGAGACGGCUAACUCUGUGCCAGCAGCCGCGGUAAUACAGAGGUCUCAAGCGUUGUUCGGAAUCACUGGGCGUAAAGCGUGCGUAGGCUGUUUCGUAAGUCGUGUGUGAAAGGCGCGGGCUCAACCCGCGGACGGCACAUGAUACUGCGAGACUAGAGUAAUGGAGGGGGAACCGGAAUUCUCGGUGUAGCAGUGAAAUGCGUAGAUAUCGAGAGGAACACUCGUGGCGAAGGCGGGUUCCUGGACAUUAACUGACGCUGAGGCACGAAGGCCAGGGGAGCGAAAGGGAUUAGAUACCCCUGUAGUCCUGGCAGUAAACGGUGCACGCUUGGUGUGCGGGGAAUCGACCCCCUGCGUGCCGGAGCUAACGCGUUAAGCGUGCCGCCUGGGGAGUACGGUCGCAAGAUUAAAACUCAAAGGAAUUGACGGGGACCCG
rnacentral:rRNA from 1 species